UACGGAGGGGACUAGCGUUGUUCGGAAUUACUGGGCGUAAAGCGCACGUAGGCGGAUUUGUAAGUUAGGGGUGAAAUCCCGGGGCUCAACCUCGGAACUGCCUUUGAUACUGCAAAUCUCGAGUCCGGAAGAGGUGAGUGGAAUUCCUAGUGUAGAGGUGAAAUUCGUAGAUAUUAGGAAGAACACCAGUGGCGAAGGCGGCUCACUGGCCCGGUACUGACGCUGAGGCGCGAAAGCGUGGGGAGCAAACAGG
rnacentral:rRNA from 1 species